UACGAAGGGGGCUAGCGUUGUUCGGAAUUACUGGGCGUAAAGCGUAUGCAGGCGGACUUUUAAGUCGGGGGUGAAAUCCCGAGGCUCAACCUCGGAACUGCCUUCGAUACUGGAAGUCUUGAGUCCGGGAGAGGUGAGUGGAACUCCGAGUGUAGAGGUGAAAUUCGUAGAUAUUCGGAAGAACACCAGUGGCGAAGGCGGCUCACUGGCCCGGUACUGACGCUGAGAUACGAAAGCGUGGGGAGCAAACGGG
rnacentral:rRNA from 1 species